rnacentral:miRNA from 1 species
GCAGGGACAACAAAGGGAUGC